AUAAAAUGUAUAUGUCGGGAUCGAGGGUAGAAUUGAAACACAGGCGUCCACCCUCGGCGCUCGACGGAGUCAAGGAUUCAUCGGCUGAGCGGCGUGUCGAUCACUUCUCGUGCAGCAGCCGACCAGUGCGGUCGAAUAUUGAACCGUCGUGUGUUUCAAUCGUAUACUGAAUCUGUAACCUGUUAGUUUAAUAUUGUAACAGUUAAUUAUCUUUCAUGUACUUUGUAACCAUGUUUGCACUUUGAGAGUGACUGAGACCUCUGAGUUUGUUUCGGUAUUUCUUCUCAGAGUAGUCGGUAGGAAAUACCGGCCCCAUCAGUAGCUUAAGUAAAGUAACAGUGCAAUGUACAGAAUUAAACAAUAGUUCCAUAUCGAAGACUUAUUAUUUUACUGCUACCUUCGUCAUAACGCCCACAAGUAUUCCUGACAUGAGUAGUGAGAUUCUCCUUUCACCGACAUAUCGAAAGUGAGAGAUCUCCUAUCUCCGACAUCAGAAGUGAGAUGGACCCGGACGAUUGAAGAUGUUGAAAUCAUCGGAGCUGAUUCAUCGAGAACUACUUGCAUUCGACCCCAACAAAGAAGACUGCGAUGCAAGGCUCAGCUUGGAGUGCAUUCAAAUCCAACCCCAGCACAGCACAUCGUCAUCUGGUACACGAGCAACGGCGACAGCGGCAGCGGACCAGGGGACGCGGCGACGGCAGCGGACCAGGGGACGCGGCGACGGCAGCGGACCAGGGGACGCGGCGACGGCAGCGGACCAGGGGACGCGGCGGCAGCGACAGCGGGCCAGGUGACGCAGCGUAAGCGCGGCGUAUGGUGAGAAGCGUAUUGAUGUCUGCAGUUGGACACUGCAUCAUCGGGAAUAUUCAGGUGACCUUGUUCCUUUUAUUAUGAUUCUGAUACCAAAUACUUUAUAGGAUGAAAAUGAGUCAGCGUUUCCAGUUUAGGAUUGUUGAUUUUGCGAUCAGAAGUAUUAUUUUACUUUUGUCGGGUAGUCAUAAUAAAAACUUAGUCGUGAUGUUUUAGAACCGAGAUCAGUUGAAGAGUCAUUAGAAUGACGUCUGUUGGGUAAUGUUAUUCUGUGUUGUAUAUUGUUAGGUUGAGAUUUGUAAUGUGUUAAGCAAGAAUAGAUAGUUCUAAACAAAAUUCAUGACAGUUGUCUAAUCAUCAGGACCGGUGUACUUAGAGCCUAAUGUAGUAAUUCUAGAGAUCGAAACAUUCUGAUUUAUUGUACUGUACCGUGAGGGUUUAUCACAGUCGUUACUGCGACGGGGGCUCGAGUCCAUAACACAAGUCGUAGCUGACUUGUAGUGGCUUGGGAGUCCUUGCGAGUGACUAUCAUGUGGUAACCUUGAAGCGAUCGAUGUUGGUUACUAAUCAUUUAAUUUGAUUUUGAUUGAGGGUACCCAGACAUAAGAUACGUUUCCGAAAGUACAUUUUAGUACGCUGAUAGACUGUUAGGUAGUUAUUCUAAAUUUAGUCGAUCAAGUUGAGUUUGCCUAGUAAAGAAAACCGCGAAGUAACCAGACGCGGCAUUUCAUUUUGAUAUUGCGUCUAGUUUGAAUAGUGUACAGGACCACUAUCAAAAGCCAAUAGUUGAUAUUUUGUUAGUUAACUUCAUUAAACUGGCGCAUAGGUUGUAAUCGUAACUAUGAACCGACAGCACGAUUGGCGCGGUGGCUGCGCAACUGGCUGCCGUGCAUCGUGUAGCGGGUUUGAUUCCCGCACGGAGCAACUCUUUGUGUAGUCCACAAAUUGUUGUUUCGGGUCUGGGUGUCGCGUGUAUGUAAAAUUGUGUGUUUGUAAAGCAUACCCACGACACAGGAGAAAAUCCCAGCGGAGCAUGAUUAUUUUAAUUUUGUAUGUAAGAUAGUAGGUACAUUGAGAAUUAUUUUAAAAGAUGUUACCGACAUUUGUUACCUUUUUACCAUUAUGAGUAUUGUAGUUGUAACUGUGGGUAGACUGGUUGUUUAAGCGGUAGUUCGGCAUUUUAUUUUGAUUGUGCAUCUGAAUUGAAUAGUUUUGAAUAGUUACAGUACAGUUCUGACGAAUAAGGACGAGGAGGAUAUCUGAUCACCAGGUUCCUCGAGAAUUUUGUGAAAUGUAAGAGGUAGAAUUUCCUGUACACAUCGUUACUACUUGUACUCAACACUCAUCAUUCACACUCAUGCCCUAAACACUCGACACUGUGGACCGCACCGCAUGAGUAGUAUGUGGUGAUGGGUCUGGCACAAUGGACCGCGCUCAUGAGGAGCAUGAGGCGAUGGUCAGUGUACACACCGGACCGCGCUCAUGAAGAGCAUGAGGUGAUGGGUCUAUGCACGCACUCACAUUCGGACCGCACACAUGAGGACCAUGUGGUGAUGGGUCUGCACAAACUCGCAUUGAGACCGCACCCGUGAGGAACAUGGCUGUUGGGUCUUCAUUCACAAGCACAUACUCAAACUUACAUCAUGUACACACACACACACUCACAUACAUGUAGGUACUUAAAAAAAAUAUGCCGACGAAUUAAAGUUAAACUGACAUAAUUCAGAUAAAGUAGUUCAAAUAGCAGAUACCUUAGAGGGUAGAUUAUUAGAGUAGUUGAAGGUAGUAGAACCUGUGUUUGAGUUUGCAAGGUGAUCGUAGUUUAAAAGAUGUUUGUUAAUGAGGGUUUCAGUGGAAACCAUGGAGUCUAGCAGAGACUCGGUGUUCCCAUGUGGGGUUCACGUGAGAGAGAAUAACUGUGUGGUACUGAACUGUGCGUAGCCGUGAUCACUUGUAAAGCUUGAAUGCUUUGAGUUACUUGGUAGAAUCAUUAUUUUGCGAGUAACUAUGUUUGUGAAAUAUCAGUUUCACUGGUUUUGAUAUUGAUUUGUUUCGAUACAUAGUAACGAGUUAAGUAACAUUUUUAUGAGGAUGAUGGUUCAAGUUUUAGAAGGUCACGCAUCAGCCGAGAUUGGUUUUGAUGAAGUUAAUGAAGCUCGGUAGAAACUCGGGUAAGGGGACUCUAGAAGCCAUUAUGUGUUUGUGCUGUCUCUAUUCGUUUGUUGUAUGUUUGUGUCCGAUCACCUCAGUAGCGGUCGCGUAUUCGCAACCCGGUCACAAACGGAAUCUCCGAGUGUCGCCUCGAGAGUCCGUUCGGUGCGCGGUACGAGUUUGGCUCUGACGGGGGUCGGCGGCUGUCUGUGUUCGGUAUGUUUGUGUUCGAUCACCUCAGUAGCGGUCACGUAUUCGCAACCCGGUCGCAAACGGAAUCUCCGAGUGUCGCCUCGAGAGUCCGUUCGGUGCGCGAUGCGAGUUUGGCUCUGACGGGGGUCGGCGGUCGUAUGUGUUCGUUUUGUGUUGCCGGAGGGUGACACACGGGAGAUCCGAGGGAUCUGAUCCAUGUGAUGGAUGUCAGCAAUGUGAUUGCUGGUCGGCUUGAGAGCCGGGGCACUGGGUGACUUGCUCGUGGACUCGAGUAAGGGCAUGCUAGGGGCCAUGUGAUGGAAGUCAGCAAUGUGAUUGCUGGUCGGCUAGAGAGCCGGGGCGCACUAGAUGUCUUACUCGGGAGUUUCUAGAGUUGUACUGAGUAGUUUGUAAUUUUUGUUGAUAAGAACGGCUGUGAUGCGUGAACCUAACAGUAUGAUGCUUUUUUUAAUUGUGUGUGGAAUGUGGUCAGGAAUGACCGAGCUAUAUGAUACUUUGCGUGUAAUUUUCUGUCACAGAUGAGCUGUCACACGAGGACGUGUGCAAGCAGGAUGGCCGUGUCGGGAUCGAGGGUAGAAUUGAAACACAGGCGUCCACCCUCGGCGCUCGACGGAGUCAAGGAUUCAUCGGCUGAGCGGCGUGUCGAUCACUUCUCGUGCAGCAGCCGACCAGUGCGGUCGAAUAUUGAACCGUCGUGUGUUUCAACCGUAUACCUAGUCUGUAACCUGUUAGUUUGAUAUUGUAACAGUUAAUUAUCUUUCAUGUACUUUGUAACCAUGUUUGCACUUUGAGAGUGACUGAGACCUCUGAGUUUGUUUCGGUAUUUCUUCUCAGAGUAGUCGGUAGGAAAUACCGGCCCCAUCAGUAGCUUAAGUAAAGUAACAGUGCAAUGUACAGAAUUAAACAAUAGUUCCAUA